rnacentral:lncRNA from 1 species
CUAUAUCUUCCGACAAAAUUUAGAGGUGCCUUAAUUGCCUAGUAUCCGGUGGGCACCUUAUACAACCCUCACCCUUUGGCAGCCAACUUACAAUCGCGGCACCAACGUUUUUAUACUCCUUAGUGUUGGGAUUGAAUUUUUAAAAGGAAAAAGUAUAUAUAAAUGUGAGGCUCUAAACAAUAAAAUUAAGACAUACCUAAAAAAUUCAUUAGAAGAUGUUGUUUCAAUACUCAAAAUUAUUCAAAUUGAUCAUCUCAACCUCAAGAUGUAUGGACAUGAAAAAAAAUGAGGAUUUCAAGUCUGAAAAGAGUGAAUCUUGUAAUGUAUUUUUGGACCAUCAAUUUUCAAGAUUUUCAAAUGUUU